GGGGAUUUAGCUCAGUGGUUCUGGUACCUGCCUCAAAAGCACAAGGUCCUGAGUUCGAUCCCCAGUACCCCCC
rfam:Heterocephalus glaber contig151737, whole genome shotgun sequence.